AGUAGCAGCGGCAGCGGUAGCAGCGGCAGCGGUAGCAGCGGCAGCGGCAGCUUGGUCCUCUGACUCUCUUCGGUGACGGGUAUUCUUGGGUGGAUAAUACGGAUUACGUUGUUAUUGCUUAAGAAUACGCGUAGUCGAGGAGAGUACCAGCGGCAGGGGGGCAGCGGCCGCCCUCCCCAGCCCACCAGCUGGCCACUAAACGCCCGUGGUUGCCAAGGCAUCCAAAGCCUCUGGGAUGUGUUCUGACUGUAAAAACUCUGAUGUUGUGAAAAAAGCUUACGCUUUGCCUCCACUCAAACCAGAUUGAUGGGUUUUUCCCUGAAAACAAAAUAAAACAAAAAGAAAAACAACUUUUGAAUAACAUGGCAUCUGGUAAAGUCAAGGAAGUAAAUUUGCUUUUUUCUUCCACUUCGAGAGAGUUGGCAUAGUUUGAAAGAAUAUUUUCAAGAAACAAGGAAAUAAGUAUGAACUUUCAUAUUUAAUGAGAAAUUGAAAGGUGAGUUUAUAAUAACCUCAGUUCAACAUUUUAUCAAAAGUGUUGGCAUUAGUAGGCUGGGCGCGGUGGCUCACGCCUGUAAUCCCAGCACUUUGGGAGGCUGAGGAGGGUGGAUCACGAGGUCAGGAGAUCGAGACCAUCCUGGCUAACACAGUGAAACCCCGUCUCUACUAAAAAUACAAAAAAUUAGCUGGGCGUGGUGGUGGGCACCUGUAGUCCCAGCUACUCGGGAGGCUGAGGUAGGAGAAUGGCGUGAACCCGGGAGGCGGAGCUUGCAGUGAGCCAAAAUCACACCACUGCACUCCAGCCUGGGCAACAGAGCAAGACUCCAUCUCAAAAAAAUAAAAAAUAAAAAAAAGUGUUGGCAUUAGUAAUAUCAAUAUAUUGUCAACAUCUGCUAAAAGUCAUCAAACACCUGGUCAGUUCAUGCAAUCAGGAAAAAAAAAAAAGUUGUUUGAUUCACUUAAAAAAAUCAAAUCAUUUAAGUGUGACUAACGCUUUUUGAAUCUUUUGGGGGUAUGUGAAAAUAAACUGAUGAAUGGUUUAAAAAAUGUUUAUGUUAAUUGCUAUAGAAGUAUAAAUUUUAGUCGUUUUUAAGAAUUUUUGUUCUUACUACAUUUCCAUGCAAUUAAGAAAAUUAUCAUAUUUCUUUUUUUAACUUUUAUUUUAAGUUCAGGGGUACAAGUACAGGUUUGUUUUGCAUAGGUAAACUUGUUUCAUGAGGGCUUGUUGUACAGAUUAUUUCAUCACCCAGGUAUUAAGUCGAGUACCCAUGAGUUAUUUUUCCUGAUCCUCUGCCUCCUCCCACCCUCCACCCUCUUAAAGGCCCCAGUGUGUGUUCCUCUCUACGUGUCCAUGUGUUCUCAGCAUUUAGCUCCCACUUAUAAGAGAGAACAUGUGGCUUUUGGUUUUCUGUUCCUGAGUUUGUUUGCUAAGGAUAAUAGCCUCCAGUUCCAUCCAUGUCCCUGCAAAGGACAUGAUCAUGUUCUUUUCUAUGCUGACCCACAAUUAACCAGUGCAUUCUUCCCUUGGAUUCCCUAAGCUUGUGUGCCUGAUGAGCUGCUCUCCAGUUAUGCCACCAUGAUUUCCAUUCCUGAGGGAAGGCUGUGACGAAGAGCCAGGAAAAUAAGAGCACCCCUCCUACUCUCAUAGUGCAGUGGUUGAGGAUCCUUUUUUCUAUACAAUUUUAAAACUGGAAAUACACAAAAUACGCCAACAUAAUUAAAAAUAAAACUACCAUGAAAUAGCACAAAUAUUCUGCACAUGAAAUGUUAAGAACUAAAAUUUAAAAAUCUGCUUUUAGUAGGACUACAUAAAACUGAAGAAAACCAGUCAAUACAGAAUUGGGCCAAUGUACAAUUAUUCUUGAAGUAAUCCAAACACAUUAAGUUCUCUAAUAUAUCUAAAAUAAUCUAUGACAAAGGAAAUAAUCUGAAGGAAAGAAAGAAAAGAUAAUUGUGGGAAAUUCUUAUGUGUUAUACUUUUAUGUGUAGAUAAGCUGAAUGGAAAAAGAAUUAUUGUAAAAUAUUGAGAAAAGAUUAGAAGAUAUGAAAUAAUUAAGAAAAAGAGAAUAGGUAAAAGGAGCCCAUGGUGAUGAAAAGGCACUGCUCAUUUUCUUUUUAAAAAAUUUCCUCAAAUUAUUAAAUCUAGGCAUUCCCAACUUUUUUUUUUUUUUUUUAGAUGGUGUUUCGCUCUUAUUGCCCAGGCUGGAGUGCAAUGACGUGAUCUUGACUCACCACAGCCUCUGCAUCCAGGAUUCAAGCUAUUCCCCUGCCUCAGCCUCCCAAAAUGCUGGGAUUAUAGGCGUGAGCCACCACGCCUGGCCAGCAUUCCCAAUUUUUAAAAAUGAAUGAUUGGCACAAAUCUUAGAAAGCCAUUUUCUGUAGAUUUGAAAGCAAUGCUAUUUACAUUGUUACUACUUUCUUGUUAAAUCUUGCAUGUCUGCAGUAUGUGUUGUAAUAGAAACCUAAGAUUAUGAUCUGCUGUAUUCAUAUUUGAAGAAGAAAAUUUCAGACUGUAUAAUCAACUAGUUGAUGAUUCAUAUUUGCUUGUACAAAGUUAAAAGUGUAACUUGCCAGAAAAGAAGGAAGCCUGAAAAGUAUUCUAAAUACAUUAAUAAGAAGGGUUCUACAUGAAUUAAUUUUUGUUUUGCCAUCUACAGAGUUCCUGCCACAUUCUAGGCACUUCAUAUUUGCUGCAACAUUUAUUCAGACAUUGACAGAACAAGAGAAACGAAGUUAAAUUUUAAGUACCAUGGAUUGAAAUUAAAUUUAGGGAAGAUAUUUUAUAGUAUGAAUUGUUCAUCUGUAUUUAACAAGGUAUUCAUUUAUUUUGGGCGAUUUAAGGAAGGUCCUUUCUGGAAACAGGAUUACAAACAUAUGGACCUAUUUAGUCAAUUUCAACCUUGUGAUUUUGAAUCUGACAGGUUCUCAGCUGCUUUUAUUAAAUAACGGAUUUUCUUAAUAAUUACUGUACUCAAACUUAGCAAAAAGCUCUAUUUAUAGCCCAGUUUUUUAGUCACACACUAUUGUGUCUUGUCAAAUUGAAACCAUAUACUACAUUCUUUACUUAUUAAGAUGGUCUUUCUUUGUAAUAAUUUUGGAGUAAAUAGUUUACUUAUCUAAACCUCUGAUUUCUGAUUUAACAGAUUUUUGAAGCAUUUAUUUUCCUUACCAUACAUAAAAAUUGUCAGUUGAGGACAAGGAAGGAUUAACCUGGACUACGGUGAAUAAUUGUUCAGGUUGCUUACUGUGUAACUCCAGAGGAGCAUUCACAUGGUACAAUUUGCAGAUUUAAGUAUUUAUUACAACCAUUUUCUGGCAGAUAACAGUGGAACACCCUGUUCUGUUAAAAUUAGUUUAUUAUGACAAAUUGCCUACAGAUGGACAUAAACUGUCUUGAGGAAGGGCACCUGCUUUGGACUGAAUCGUGUCCCCCCAAAAUCAAAUGUUGAAGCCUAAUCUCUAAUAUGAUGGUAUUUGGAGAUGGGGCCUUUGGGAGAUAACUAGGUUUAGAUGAGGUCAAGAGUGUGGGGCCUUCCUGAUUAGUACCCUGAAAAGAGAAAACACCAGAGAGCUUGCCCUCUCUCCCUCUUACCCCACAGGCACACAAAGAGGUCAUGUGAGUACACAGUGAGAUAACAACCACCUAUGAGAAAACAGAAGAGGCUUCAGAGUGAAAUCUACUUUGCUGGUACUGUAAUCUUGGACAUUAUUCUCUAGAACUGUGAGAUAAUAAAUUUAUCUUAUUUAAGCCACCCAGUCUAUGGUAUUUUGUUAUGGCACCCUGAACUAAGACAAAUUUUGGUACCAAGAAAUGGGGGUGCUACUGUAACUAAUACCUAAACAUGGGGAAAUGACUUUGGAAUUGGAUAGUGAGUAGAGGCUCAAGAAUUUUCAGGUGCAUCCUAAACAUAUGAACAAACAGUAAAGGUGAUUCUGGUGAGACCUCAGAUGGAAUUGAGGAAUAUGUUAUUGGAAACUGGAAGGACGGUGAUCCUUGUUACAAAGUGGCAAAAAACUUAGGUGAACUGUAUUCUAGUGUUUUGAGGAAGGUAGAACUUGUGAGUGAUGAAAUUAAAUAUUUGACAUUUCUAAGCAAUAUGAUGAAGGAGCAGCUGGUUUCCUCCUGACCAUUUCUGCUGAAAUGAAAAAAAAAAAGAUAAGUUGAAGAAGAAAUUGUUCAGCAAAAAGGAACCAGAACUUGAAGAUUUGGGAAAUUCUCAGCUUAUCCACAUUAUUAAAAAAUGACAAAAACUUGCUCUGAAAAUAACACUAGGAGUGUGACUGGACAACCAUUUGAUAAGAGUUUAUGAGAUUAUGUGAGCAGAAAUUCUGCCAGUUUGAACUGAAGGGGAUGAAGAUGGGACAAAAAGAAUGAAGGCUUCGAGACUUCUUGGGUUAGACAUGAUGGGCUGAUUUGCUUAUUUGGCUGUGAACCUGCACUAUUUUUCAAGGAGAGGAAAAAAUGGCCCCAAAGGCAAUUCAGAGAUAGCCAGAGCCACAGCCUCAGUUUCAACAGGCUGGACAGUCUCCACUCAGCUCUUUGGAGGCAGAACCACUCAGAGGACUCAAGCCUGUCAGAGCUAGGGGGUGGGGCUGGCAAUCCCACAGGGUGGAAAGGAUGGGGCUAUCCUGCAAAUCCAUGUGGGUGAUGUCUUGGGUGGAAUGCUCUGGACUGAACUGUCCUCCCAUCCCCUGCUCAGAUUCUGUGUUGAAGCCCUUACCUCCAGUGUUACGGUAUUUGGAGAUGGGGUCUUUGUAAGAUAAUUGGGUUUAGAUGAGAUCAUGAGAGUGAGGCCCUCAGGAUUAGUGCCCUUAUAAGAAACCUCGGAAAGCUUGCGAGUUCUCUCUCUCUCUCUUUCUUUUUCUUUCUCUCUCUCUCUCCCCGUGUGUGUGUGUGUGUGUGUGUGUGCGCGCGCACACGCGCGCGUCAUGUGGAAACACAGCACAAAGGCAGCCUCUGCAAGCCAGGAAGAGGGCUCACGAGAACCCAAUCAAGCUGGCACCCCAAUCUCAAACUUCCACCCUCCGAAACUGUGAGAAAAUAAAUUUCUGUUGUUUAUGCUUAUGUUCAAUGAAGAAAAUAUGCGUAACAAGUGAUUUAACAAUAAUGUGAUAAUUCAUUGGAUUACUCUAAGAAAUAUGAGUUUUUUUACGGCAAACUCUCCACAACACACUUGAUAAUAGAUUGAGAGGAAAUGGCUGUGUAAAUAAUUAAGCUGAGAAAAUAAGUUACAUUUGCUCUCACAGAUCAGUGGUCAAAGAGAGACAAAAUGCUGAGGGUGGGGUGGGGUGGACAGGACAUUGAGGAUCAAAAGCACUUGGGAUCAGCUUCAAACUGAAGGUAAUAACUGGAGUCUUAGACACGGGUUUUUCCAGGAAAACAAAAUGAGAGAAGUCAGAUCAAGCAGAGGAAGUUGUAUGAACAAUCACUAAACUUCCUGACUUAUUCUCCAAGUUUCUUAUUCCUAAACUACAAAUAUCUUGAUUGCAUUCUGAGAACAUGCUGUGCCUCCCUCUGUCUUAGCAGUCACUACUUUAUAUUAAAAUAUAUUUUGAUGCUUUCCUUUCCCAUAGAUUCUCCAAGUCAUAAACAAUACCCCCAGCACCUAGCACAGAGCCUGGUACCAUGUUGUUUGUCAAAUUAGACUGAGCUCUGAUAUUGCCUUUUUCACCAGGUGGUCCAUACUCUCUUCUACUUUCCUUUAAUACACUGGCGUAUGUUUUGUAAGCCCUCGCCACAUUGUAUUCAAUUGUUUGUUAAUGUGUUUGUCUUCCUAAUUAGACUGUGAAAUUCUUGAAGGCAGAGAUUAGGUCCUGUUCAUCUUUGCAUGAUCAGUGUCUUGCCUAGCAUAUAGUAGGGUUCCCUUGGGGUUCCUUUUUUUAUGAAAUGAACUAACAUUCAGUAUUUCAAAAUUACUGGAAUUUAGUGUGCUUUAGGUAACGGUGAGCAGAAGGAAGAUGGAUAAGAUAUAAGGCUGGGAAAAUAUGGGGAAAAUCCAUGUCUGAGGUUAAUUGAUUAAAAAGGAGGAGCCUUGAGUGACUUCUGUGCUUGGUGUGAUGGUGAUAUUCACCAAGGUAAGUUAUACUAGAAUAAUAAGUUAGGGAGAUAAUAGUGAGUUGAGACAUUUAUGAAAUAUGCAGGUGUCUAGUAGAGUUGGAUAAAUAGGCCUGGAGCUUGAGAAAUUCAGAACAAAGAUAGUGAUUUGGACAUCAUGAGAGGCAGUAUACAGUAAUAAUAAUAAUAAAUAGACUGGACGUGGUGGCUCACGCCUGUAAUCCCAGCACUUUGAGAGGCCGAGGCAGGUGGAUUGCCUGAGCUCAGGAGUUCAAGACAAGCCUGGGAAACAUUGCAAAACCCAUUCUCUACGAAAAAUACAAAAAAUUAGCCAGGCAUGGUGGCAUGCGCCUGUGGUCCCAGCUACUUGGGAGGCUGAAGUGGGAGAAUCGCUUGAGCCUGGGAGGUUGAGGCUGCAGUGAGCUCACAUCAUGCCACUGCACUCCAGCCUGGGUGACAGAGGGAGAUCCUAUCUCAAAAAAACAAAACAAAACAAAAUAAUAAUAAUAAUAAUAACUAUUAAAGCACUUUCUAAGUGCUGGGUACUAAUUGCUCAGCACAUGCUAGUACCCUUAAUACUCACAUAAACAAACUUUUGGAGAUGUGCAUAAUUAUCCCCAUUUUACAAACUAGAAACCAAGCCACAGACCUCCUAGUUUACCUUAGGUCGUGCAGAUCUCAAACCAAGCAGGAUUCCCACCCAGUGACUCUGCUUCUAAAAUUCGUACUCAGUAUACACCAGUAUAGGGACUGGGACUGUCAGUCUUUCCUUUGCUUUGUGACUUGAUUAUAUUACCCACCACUUCUGUGCCUCAGUUUCCUCAUUUGCAAACUGAGGGAAAUAAUACUAUCUAUCUCAAUACAGUGCUUGGUACAUGUUAGCACUCAAUCAACCUUAAAUUAUUAUUUCCAUUAGCCUAUUUAUGAAUGUUGAAAUCAUGGAGGAAAAGGAGAUUGGGUGAAUGUGGGGAAUAAGAAAACCAGAGGGUCCUUGAUCCUUUAAGCAGUGGUUGUCUAGAAGGAAAUCUAGUUUGGAGGCUGUGUGAUCAUCCCAAGGGGAAAAGUGAGGCUUCCAGACCUGGGGCCUGGGCAGAAUCUGGGAUGCCUGGUCCAGUGCAGAGGGCUGAGUAUCAGUCAUCCACAGCAAGCACUGCGGUGCUAGAAUGAAAAACUGAGAAGAAAUAUGCCAAAUCAAAAGCCUAGUCAGCCAUCCAAGUGUAAGGUCCAUCUAAAGGAACUGAGCAAAGAAAUAUGAAAAAAAAUCAGCUUAGACAGUAUGAGACAAAGCUUGAAGUUUCUUAAGCAGGUGGUAGGGACUUCAUAGGAUGCCAUGAAACUGAGAGUUGUCCAGAAGACAGCUCUUAAAGACAGUGGUCUUGCACAAGCUGAGUUUGAAGAAUAAUCAAAGUGGUAGGAGGGAAUAAGGAUGAGGCAGGAUCUUAAAAACCCAGGGAGGAAAAAAAUGUGAAGGAUGUGGGGAGAUGGGAGAUUUGGUAAGAUUCCAUUUCUUUCCAGCACCCACAACUUAUUAAUCCCUACAACAGUUUAAUGAGGUGGGCAGUCCAUUUAUUCCCGUUUUUAUAGUUUAGGAAAAUUAGACAACAAUAAUAACUGGCUUUGGGUUACACAGCUGGUGAGCAUCAGAGCUGGGAUUUUAACCCAGGCUGCCUGGCUCUCACGCCCAUGCUUGCAAUCAUCUAUUGCAUAGUCCUUAUUCCUGGCUGAUUUCCUCUUUGUCGUGGCUCACUUUACUCCAUCCCUUGUAUGUUUCUAAAGACAGAGAACAUGGCGUGAACCCGGAAGGCGAAGCUUGCAGUGAGCAAAGAUCGCGCGCGCCACUGCACUCCAGCCUGGGCGACUGAGCGAGACUCCAUCUCAAAAAAAAAAAAAAAAAAAAAAAAAGAGAGAGAGAGAGAGAGAACUUGUUUAUAGCAUUUUCCAUCUCCAUCUACCUACUGUACACUCAGCAAGCCUGGGCGGGGGUAGGAGAGUGGUACACGUUUAGAUUUUAAGGAACUGCCCUCUCAAAUAUUUACGUAUAGUCUGAGUCCUUUCCAUUCCCAGAAGGCUUCAGAUUUUUUGAAACAGGUUUCAGAA
rnacentral:lncRNA from 1 species